rnacentral:tRNA from 2 species
GCCCGAGUGGCGGAAUUGGUAGACGCUACGGACUUAAAAUCCGUUGAGAUAACUCUCGUGCCGGUUCGAGUCCGGCCUUGGGCACCA